GAAUGAUCUAUGUAAGCCAUGUGAUUUCCUUAUUCAGGUGGCUAUACUGUAUUCCUCAUUUAGUUGUUUAUCAAGUGAUCAGAUGUUUUACUCUCGAGAAUGUGUUUUGAGAACUGCUUGUUUACCCAUUCCUUUGUUUUUAGCUGCAGUAAGUAAUUCUAAUAGGAAGACUGUUGGUUCAACAGAAGAUCCCGAGUCAGUGUGUGGAUAGCUUGUUGGUAGAGUCCAUAAAAAAAUUCCAACCAGUCAUGACCGCCCCGCCUUGCUUCCGACGGUGCUGCUGGUUGCUCAGCUUCCGAGGGGACGUCUCAUGGUUGUUAUCUAUGGGAGGAGAGGAU
rnacentral:lncRNA from 1 species